rnacentral:rRNA from 1 species
GCAUAACGCGAAGAACCUUACCCACCUUUGACAUGUCCGGAAUUCUGCAGAGAUGCGGAAGUGCCUUCGGGAAUCGGAACACAGGUGCUGCAUGGCUGUCGUCAGCUCGUGUCGUGAGAUGUUGGGUUAAGUCCCGCAACGAGCGCAACCCUUGUCCUUAGUUGCCAGCGAGUAAUGUCGGGAACUCUAAGGAGACUGCCGGUGACAAACCGGAGGAAGGUGGGGAUGACGUCAAGUCCUCAUGGCCCUUACGGCCAGGGCUACACACGUACUACAAUGGUCGGUACAGAGGGUUGCCAAACCGCAAGGUGGAGCCAAUCCCAGAAAGCCGAUCCCAGUCCGGAUCGGAGUCUGCAACUCGACUCCGUGAAGUCGGAAUCGCUAGUAAUCGCGGAUCAGCUAUGCCGCGGUGAAUACGUUCCCGGGUCUUGUACACACCG